AGGGUUUGAUCAUGGCUCAGAUUGAACGCUGGCGGCAGGCCUAACACAUGCAAGUCGAGCGGAAACGAUCCUAGCUUGCUAGGAGGCGUCGAGCGGCGGACGGGUGAGUAACGCGUGAGAAUCUACCCAUGAGUGGGGGACAACCCGGGGAAACUCGGGCUAAUACCGCAUACGCCCUACGGGGUAAAGCAGGGGACCUUCGGGCCUUGCGCUGAUGGAUGAGCUCGCGUCGGAUUAGCUUGUUGGUGAGGUAAAGGCUCACCAAGGCGACGAUCCGUAGCUGGUCUGAGAGGAUGAUCAGCCACACCGGGACUGAGACACGGCCCGGACUCCUACGGGAGGCAGCAGUGGGGAAUCUUGGACAAUGGGGGCAACCCUGAUCCAGCCAUGCCGCGUGUGUGAAGAAGGCCUUCGGGUUGUAAAGCACUUUCAGCAGGGAGGAAGGCUUACCCCUAAUACGGG
rnacentral:rRNA from 1 species